rnacentral:rRNA from 1 species
UGUGUCAGCCGCCGCGGUAAUACAUAGGGGGCGAGCGUUGUCUGGAUUUAUUGGGCGUAAAGCGUGUGUAGGCGGUUUAUUAAGUCUAAGGUUAAAGGCUGAAGCUUAACUUCAGUAUGCCUUGGAAACUGGUAGACUUGAGUAUGGUAGAGGCAAGUGGAAUUUCUAGUGUAGCGGUUAAAUGCGUAGAUAUUAGAAGGAACACCAGUGGCGAAGGCGGCUUGCUGGGCUAUUACUGACGCUGAGACACGAAAGCGUGGGGAGCAAAUAGGAUUAGAUACCCUAGUAGUCCACGCCGUAAACGAUGAGUACUAAGUGUCGGAGUUAUUCGGUGCUGAAGUUAACACAUUAAGUACUCCGCCUGAGUAGUACGGCCGCAAGGCUGAAACUCAAAGGAAUUGACGGGCACCCGCACAAGCGGUGGAGCAUGCUGUUUAAUUCGACGCUACGCGAAGAACCUUACCUGGGCUUGACAUCUCAAGGAUCGCUCUAGAAAUAGAGUCUCCCUUCGGGGCCGUGAGACAGGUGGUGCAUGGUUGUCGUCAGCUCGUGUCGUGAGAUGUUGGGUUAAGUCCCAUAACGAGCGCAACCCUUAUUUUUAGUUACUAACAUUUAGUUGAGAACUCUAAAAAGACUGCCGGUGGUAAAUCGGAGGAAGGUGGGGAUGACGUCAAAUCAUCAUGCCCCUUAUGUCCAGGGCUACAGGCGUGCUACAAUGGUCAGUAUAAUAAGACGCAAUGUCGCAAGGCGGAGCAAAUCUUUAAAGCUGGUCUCAAUUCGGAUUGAAGUCUGCAACUCGACUUCAUGAAGUCGGAAUCGCUAGUAAUCGCAAAUCAGAAUGUUGCGGUGAAUACGUUCCCGGGUGUUGUACACACCGCCCGUCACGCCACGAGAAUCUGUAAUACCCAAAGUUGGUAGCCUAACCUUUUAGGAGGGAGCCACCUAAGGUAGGACAGGUGAUUAGGGUGAAGUCGUAACAAGGUAACCA